rnacentral:rRNA from 1 species
AUACAUGCAAGUCGAGCGAAUGACGAGGAGCUUGCUCCUCUGAUUUAGCGGCGGACGGGUGAGUAACACGUGGGCAACCUGCCCUGCAGACUGGGAUAACUUCGGGAAACCGGAGCUAAUACCGGAUAAUCCAUUUUACUUCAUGGUGAAAUGUUGAAAGGCGCUUUCGCGCCACUGCAGGAUGGGCCCGCGGUGCAUUAGCUAGUUGGUGGGGUAACGGCCUACCAAGGCGACGAUGCAUAGCCGACCUGAGAGGGUGAUCGGCCACAUUGGGACUGAGACACGGCCCAAACUCCUACGGGAGGCAGCAGUAGGGAAUCUUCCACAAUGGACGAAAGUCUGAUGGAGCAACGCCGCGUGAGUGAUGAAGGUUUUCGGAUCGUAAAACUCUGUUGUAAGGGAAGAACAAGUACGUUAGGAAAUGAACGUACCUUGACGGUACCUUAUUAGAAAGCCACGGCUAACUACGUGCCAGCAGCCGCGGUAAUACGUAGGUGGCAAGCGUUGUCCGGAUUUAUUGGGCGUAAAGCGCGCGCAGGUGGUUUCUUAAGUCUGAUGUGAAAUCUCGCGGCUCAACCGCGAGCGGUCAUUGGAAACUGGGGAACUUGAGUGCAGAAGAGGAUAGUGGAAUUCCAAGUGUAGCGGUGAAAUGCGUAGAGAUUUGGAGGAACACCAGUGGCGAAGGCGACUGUCUGGUCUGUAACUGACACUGAGGCGCGAAAGCGUGGGGAGCAAACAGGA